rnacentral:rRNA from 1 species
ACUCCUACGGGAGGCAGCAGUAGGGAAUCUUCCACAAUGGGCGCAAGCCUGAUGGAGCAACACCGCGUGAGUGAAGAAGGGUUUCGGCUCGUAAAGCUCUGUUGUUAAAGAAGAACACGUAUGAGAGUAACUGUUCAUACGUUGACGGUAUUUAACCAGAAAGUCACGGCUAACUACGUGCCAGCAGCCGCGGUAAUACGUAGGUGGCAAGCGUUAUCCGGAUUUAUUGGGCGUAAAGAGAGUGCAGGCGGUUUUCUAAGUCUGAUGUGAAAGCCUUCGGCUUAACCGGAGAAGUGCAUCGGAAACUGGAUAACUUGAGUGCAGAAGAGGGUAGUGGAACUCCAUGUGUAGCGGUGGAAUGCGUAGAUAUAUGGAAGAACACCAGUGGCGAAGGCGGCUGCCUGGUCUGCAACUGACGCUGAGACUCGAAAGCAUGGGUAGCGAACAGGAUUAGAUACCCU